rnacentral:rRNA from 1 species
CAACGACCUCAGUUCGGACGAGAUCACCCGCUAAACUUAAGCAUAUCGCUAAGCGGAGGAAAAGAAACUAACAAGGAUUCCCUUAGUAGCGGCGAGCGAACAGGGAAGAGCCCAGCGCCGAAUCCCACGGUCCGAGAGGACCGAUCGGGAAAUGUGGCGUUAAGGAGGAUCCGCAAACCCCGGAGUCGUGCGAGGCGAGUCCAAGUCCUUCUUGAAAGAGGCCGAUCCACCCGCAGAGGGUGCCAGGCCCGUAGGACAGCUUCCCGUCGACGGGUCGGAUCUCUCCCUAGAGUCGGGUUGCUCGAGAUUGCAGCCCUAAGCAGGUGGUAAACUCCAUCUAAGGCUAAAUACGACCACGAGACCGAUAGCGAACAAGUACCGCGAGGGAAAGUUGAAAAGAACUUUGAAGAGAGAGUUCAAGAGUACGUGAAACCGUUCAGGGGUGAACCUGAGAAACCCGAAAGGUCGAAAGCCGAGAUACAGCGUUCGUCCGCGACGUCGGAUCGUAGAAUUUCACCGUUGCGGAAGUUUUGCGAGGCCCGACGCGGCGACGUGCACUUUUCGGCGAGUAGGACGUCGCGACCCGUUGGGAUCGUAGCCGACGCGUUACGGGUACGCGCGGGAAGCUCGGAAGGACGAAACGAGACGUGUGCUCGUCCAGUUCUCCGAACCCGUUCGCGUUCUCUCCGGCGUUCGGCACGCCCGACGAGACGUAAAUCACAUAACGAACCGACCGACGGAGCGCAUUCGAGCGCGCCCGUCCCGUCGUCGUUCGACGAACGUCGUUCCGGUACCGGUAGAUUCGGCGGCCCAGCGUCGUCGACUCCGGGAAAGACGCGUUCCGACGCGACGGUGCUCUCGGGCGACGUUUAAAAGCGUCUCACCGACCGUCGUCGGUCUGCGACGCUAUCGCUUUGGGUAAUCUCAGGACCCGUCUUGAAACACGGACCAAGGAGUCCAACGUGCGCGCGAGUCAAUGGGCGUAUAAUAGAAACCCAAAGGCGAAGCGAAAGCGAAGGUCGGAUUGCGCGUUUCGGCGCGCCGUCCGUCCGUCGGGAAGAUGGGCGACCCCGUUCCUUAAACGGUACACAGGUCGCUCCGCACUCCCGGGGCGUCUCGCUUCGGUAUCGGAGCGUGUCGCAGGUUCGGUUUCGGCCGGAUCUCGCCCUUCGGUACCGGAGACGCACCUCUAGCGCGCACGCUGGGACCCGAAAGAUGGUGAACUAUGCCUGGUCAGGACGAAGUCAGGGGAAACCCUGAUGGAGGUCCGCAGCGAUUCUGACGUGCAAAUCGAUCGUCAGAACUGGGUAUAGGGGCGAAAGACCAAUCGAACCGUCUAGUAGCUGGUUCCCUCCGAAGUUUCCCUCAGGAUAGCUGGCGCUCGCAUCUAGAGAGUCUCAUGCGGUAAAGCGAAUGAUUAGAGCGAAUCGGGGUCGAAACGACCUCUACCUAUUCUCAAACUUUAAAUGUGUGAGAUCUCCGGCUUGCCCGAUUAACGAAGCCGCGAGAUCGGAUCUAGAGUGCCAAGUGGGCCAAUUUUGGUAAGCAGAACUGGCGCUGUGGGAUGAACCAAACGUAAAGUUAAAGCGCCCAAAUCGACGCUCAUGGGAAACCAUGAAAGGCGUUGGUAACUCAGGACAGCAGGACGGUGACCAUGGAAGUCGGAAUCCGCUAAGGAGUGUGUAACAACUCACCUGCCGAAGUUACCAGCCCUGAAAAUGGAUGGCGCUUAAGCGUCGUGCUUAUACUUUGCCGUCGGCGGCAUGCGAAUACGCAAACAGAGGCCCCGACGAGUAGGGGGGUCGCGACGGUGAGCGCAGAAGGACCGGGCGUGAGCCCGUCUGGAGCCGCCGUCGGCGCAGAUCUUGGUGGUAGUAGCAAAUACUUCAGCGAGCACCUGGAGGACUGAGGUGGAGAAGGGUUUCGUGUGAACAGCAGUUGCACACGAGUCAGUCGAUCCUAAGCCGCUAGGCGAAAGCCGAUGCUGAUGGGGCGCCGACGAAAGUCUAGUAGAGCGCGAGCCACGCAUGCCCGGCGAGUUAAGAGCGGUCGUGUCGACGUUCGCGUCGUCGUCGUCGUCGUCGUCCGUCGUACGUGUAUAGGCGCCGGUCGGUCGGUCUGUCUGUCUGUCGGUCGCGUAAGUAGAAGGAAGUGCUUGGUGGUUCACUCCCGUCGGGUGAGUCCGUCGUCCACCUUCUACUUGCCACCGAGCAGACGCGACUACUCCCUUGCCGUAUACGACGACGCACGCGCGCAGUGUGUCGCCACCGCUUUCGCUCUUGAGGCAAUGUAGAGCCGUCGUCGCUUCGAACUCGAGUCGCGCCCCUAGGGCGAAAGGGAAUGCGGUUCCUAUUCCGCAACCCGGCAACGGAACCGCCAUUAUUCGGGCCCUCAUUGAGAGUUCGUCUGGGUAACCUAACACGACCCGGAGACGCCGUCGGGAGGUCCGGGAAGAGUUUUCUUUUCUGCAUGAGCGUUCGAGAUCCAUGGAAGCCCAUAG